rnacentral:lncRNA from 1 species
CCUGAUUUCAGACAAAGAAAUGUUUGUGUAGGCCAGAGCAAAACCAGUUAAGCAAGAAGAAAAAGGGGCAGAUUGAAAGAAGUGAGAGAAUCCAGUCAAAGCAAAGCAUGGCAUGAUUAAUAAGUGAAGGCAAUCAGUCUGUGGGAAGGAACUACUAUUGCAUAUAGUAAUUCCUGCAGGUAAGAAGAGCCCACCUGCUGAGGACAAAGUUGUGCUAACACACAUGAAGAUAUUGAGCAAUGAAGGAAUUCAAAACCCAGGGUUAAUCCCAGAGGCUCCAGCUGACACAGCCUGCACAGAAGAGUCCCAUCUUCCCGGCGCCAGCCUCCCACCAGACUGCUUGGAAAAUCCAAAUGCAGCAGCCGCACCGGCAGAUCCAAACUGUGCAGAUGGCCCGGCAAGCACUGACUACGUACCCACCCUGCCUGACCUCAGCGCCUUCGAGUCCAAGUGCCGGCUUCAUAGGUUCUCCAAAUUUGAAUCUGAGGACUCAGGGGUUGAAUUGCCAAGUGGGGCUAAUUCUCCAUCGACACCGACUGGCUCAGAGAAGAGCUUUGUGCUUCACAGCAGAGACUCAUUUUGUGACUCGGGUGUGCUUAGCACCUCUUCUUCUCCAGAAAUUGACCAUCAGCUAAUGAGAACAUGUAAAGAACAUGCCAGAAAAGUCAGCCUCCAAGAUCCAGAGAGCAAAAACCAAGAUGAUUACUACAGCCAGGAGGCAGAUGCUGUGCAGGGUCCUACAGCUUCCCUUGAAGACUUCAGCGUCCCUCAGGAAGAAAAUCCUGAUGAACAUUUUGACCAGAGUGACAAGCAGUUUCCAGAAAAGGAACCUACCCCAGAGAUGGACCUUUCCAGGGAAAGCACUCUUUCCACCCCAGGUCCCACAGAAGAGCCAAAGACAAUUGCUGACAAUUUCCCAGAGAAUUUUGGCAGCGUGCAAGACCUUCAGGUCCAUGAACAUCCGCUGAAGAAGUACCCUACAAGUGACAGUCUGAAUGAAUACAUGGAUGAAUGCUGUAGACUGAGUGAGGUGAACCAAGGUAACAGCAAAGCCCUGGGAUCUGGUCUGGGAUACCUAGAACACAUUUGCCAACUGAUUGAAAAGAUUGGGCAGCUGCAGGAGCACAACCUGCGUCUCCAAAAACAAGUGUGCAGCUUGCAGAAAGAGCAGAAGAUGUGCCAGUUAAAAGAGGAAUACCUUCUGCAGCAUUGCUCCUGUGGAGCUGCCAGCAUCUUCCUCAGCUCACAUCAAGACAUUAAAACAAUGUUUGCUGGGAGGAGCAGACCUCACAGCCUCUUGGUUCAGACUGGAAACCCAUCUGAUCUUUCCAUCAUCCCAGAAAUAGGAGCGAACACUGAAAAGCUGAGCAGCUGCAAUGGUGAGUUCAGAUAUGUCUAACCUGCCCUCCUGUUUGCCACCACUUGGUCAAAUAAGCUGACCAGCCACUUUCUUCUCCCUA